rnacentral:rRNA from 1 species
GACAAACGCUGGCGGCAUGCCUAACACAUGCAAGUCGAACGGACGGAGGCUUGAGAUCUCUUCGGAGUGACCGAGCCCGAGUUAGUGGCGGAUGGGUGAGUAACGCGUGGGGAACCUACCUUUUAGUGGGGAAUAAUCGUUGGAAACGACGACUAAUACCGCAUACAGUGUCCGGAUCGCAUGAUCCGGAUAAAAAGCGGCCUUUGUGCUGUCGCUAAGAGAUGGACCCG